rnacentral:lncRNA from 1 species
AAUACAGGAAAGGCAGGGAGCUGUUGGAGAGGGUCCAGAGGAGGACACAGAGAUGCUCAGAGGGCUGCAGCACCUCCCCUACAAAGACAGGCUGAGGGAGCUGGGCUUGUUCAGCCUGGAGAAGAGAAGGCUGCGGGGAGACCUCAUUGCAGCCUUCCAGGACCUCCAGGGAGCCUCCAAACAGGAGGGGAGGCAACUCUUGGAAAGGGCAGAUAACAGCAGGACGAGGGGAAAUGGUGUGAAGUUGAAGGAGGGCAGAUUGAGGUUGGAUGUGAGGGGGAAGUUCUUUGCUAUGAGAGUGGGGAGGUGCUGGAACAGCUGCCCAGAGAGGCUGUGGAUGCCCCGUCCAUCCCUGGAGGUGUUCAAGGCCAGGUUGGAUGGGGCCCUGGGCAGCCUGGGCUGGUAUGAAAUGGGGAGGUUGGUGGCCCUGUGUGUGGUGGGGGGUUGGAGCUCCACGAUCCUUGAGGUCCCUUCCAACCCAACCAUUCUGUG